rnacentral:rRNA from 1 species
AGUGCGUAAUAGCUCACUGGUCGAGUGAUCCUGCGCCGAAGAUUUCCGGGGCUAAAACUUACUACCGAAGCUACGGCAUCAGUAAUGAUGGGUAGGGGAGCUUCCCAUACGGGUUGAAGCAUGACCGUAAGGACAUGUGGACAGUAUGGGAGUGAGAAUGUUGGCAUGAGUAGCGAGAUGUGGGUGAGAAUCCCACAGGCCGUAAACCCAAGGUUUCCAGGGGAAGGUUCGUCCGCCCUGGGUUAGUCGGGACCUAAGCUGAGGCCGAAAGGCGUAGGUGAUGGACAACAGGUUGAUAUUCCUGUACUACCGAUAACCGUUUGAGAGAAGGGAUGACACAGUAGGAUAAGCUAAGCACACUGUUGGUUAUGUGUGCCCAAGCAUUGAGGCAGUCAAAGUAGGCAAAUCCGCUUUGAUAAUGCUGGGAUGUGAUGGGGAGCGAAAUUUAGUAGCGAAGUAGCUGAUUUCACACUGUCAAGAAAAGUCUCUAUCGAGGUUAAAGGUACCCGUACCGCAAACCGACACAGGUGGGUGAGGAGAGUAUCCUAAGGCCAGCGAGAGAACUGUUGUUAAGGAACUCGGCAAAAUGACCCCGUAACUUAGGGAUAAGGGGUGCCACCAUCAGGUGGCCGCAGAGAAUAGGCCCAAGCGACUGUUUACCAAAAACAUAGGUUUCUGCUAAGUCGCAAGACGAUGUAUAGGAGCUGACGCCUGCCCGGUGCUGGAAGGUUAAGGGGAUCUGUUAGAGCAA